rnacentral:misc_RNA from 1 species
GAUGAAGAACGUAGCGAAAUGCGAUAAGUAAUGUGAAUUGCAGAAUUCAGUGAAUCAUCGAAUCUUUGAACGCACAUUGCGCCCGCCAGUAUUCUGGCGGGCAUGCCUGUUCGAGCGUCAUUACAACCCUCAGGCCCCCGGGCCUGGCGUUGGGGAUCGGCGGAGCCCCCCGUGGGCACACGCCGUCCCCCAAAUGCAGUGGCGGUCCCGCCGCAGCUUCCAUCGCGUAGUAGCUAACACCUCGCGACUGGAGAGCGGCGCGGCCACGCCGUAAAACCCCCAACUCUUCUGAAGUUGACCUCGAAUCAGGUAGGAAUACCCGCUGAACUUAAGCAUAUCAAUAAGCGGAGGA